rnacentral:rRNA from 1 species
GUUUGAUCAUGGCUCAGGAUGAACGCUGGCGGCGUGCCUAAUACAUGCAAGUCGAACGAACUUCCGUUAAUUGAUUAUGAGGUGCUUGCACUGAAUGAGAUUUUAACACGAAGUGAGUGGCGGACGGGUGAGUAACACGUGGGUAACCUGCCCAGAAGCAGGGGAUAACACCUGGAAACAGAUGCUAAUACCGUAUAACAGAGAAAACCGCCUGGUUUUCUUUUAAAAGAUGGCUCUGCUAUCACUUCUGGAUGGACCCGCGGCGCAUUAGCUAGUUGGUGAGGUAACGGCUCACCAAGGCGAUGAUGCGUAGCCGACCUGAGAGGGUAAUCGGCCACAUUGGGACUGAGACACGGCCCAGACUCCUACGGGAGGCAGCAGUAGGGAAUCUUCCACAAUGGACGCAAGUCUGAUGGAGCAACGCCGCGUGAGUGAAGAAGGGUUUCGGCUCGUAAAGCUCUGUUGUUAAAGAAGAACGUGGGUGAGAGUAACUGUUCACCCAGUGACGGUAUUUAACCAGAAAGCCACGGCUAACUACGUGCCAGCAGCCGCGGUAAUACGUAGGUGGCAAGCGUUAUCCGGAUUUAUUGGGCGUAAAGCGAGCGCAGGCGGUCUUUUAAGUCUAAUGUGAAAGCCUUCGGCUCAACCGAAGAAGUGCAUUGGAAACUGGGAGACUUGAGUGCAGAAGAGGACAGUGGAACUCCAUGUGUAGCGGUGAAAUGCGUAGAUAUAUGGAAGAACACCAGUGGCGAAGGCGGCUGUCUGGUCUGUAACUGACGCUGAGGCUCGAAAGCAUGGGUAGCGAACAGGAUUAGAUACCCUGGUAGUCCAUGCCGUAAACGAUGAUUACUAAGUGUUGGAGGGUUUCCGCCCUUCAGUGCUGCAGCUAACGCAUUAAGUAAUCCGCCUGGGGAGUACGACCGCAAGGUUGAAACUCAAAAGAAUUGACGGGGGCCCGCACAAGCGGUGGAGCAUGUGGUUUAAUUCGAAGCUACGCGAAGAACCUUACCAGGUCUUGACAUCUUCUGCCAACCUAAGAGAUUAGGCGUUCCCUUCGGGGACAGAAUGACAGGUGGUGCAUGGUUGUCGUCAGCUCGUGUCGUGAGAUGUUGGGUUAAGUCCCGCAACGAGCGCAACCCUUAUUACUAGUUGCCAGCAUUCAGUUGGGCACUCUAGUGAGACUGCC